GACCGGCGCACGGGUGAGUAACACGUAUCCAACCUGCCGAUGACUCGGGGAUAGCCUUUCGAAAGAAAGAUUAAUACCCGAUGGCAUAGUUCUUCCGCAUGGUAGAACUAUUAAAGGAUUUCGGUCAUCGAUGGGGAUGCGUUCCAUUAGGUUGUUGGCGGGGUAACGGCCCACCAAGCCUUCGAUACAUAGGGGGACUGAGAGGUUAACCCCCCACACUGGUACUGAGACACGGUCCAAACUCCUACGGGAGGCAGCAGUGAGGAAUAUUGGUCAAUGGACGAGAGUCUGAACCAGCCAAGUAGCGUGCAGGAUGACGGCCCUAUGGGUUGUAAACUGCUUUUAUAAGGGAAUAAAGUGGGAGUCGUGACUCUUUUUGCAUGUACCUUAUGAAUAAGGACCGGCUAAUUCCGUG
rnacentral:rRNA from 1 species